CUCUGUUUUGACAGGCAGGGACCGGCCUUUCCAGAGAACAGCUCUCUAGAUAGUGAGGAACAACAAGUGAAAGCUAUUUUCUGAUGUUUUCUUGUUGCUGCUGGACGCUUUGUUCGACCACCCAGAAACUCCAACACUCUCCAAUGUUAUCUGAGGAGAGGAAGAAACACUGGACUUGAACUGCUCAGCACAUCUGCAUGUUUCAUUACACGUUUACUUCAUCUCCUUCUUUUGCUCCCGAACCAUUUUGAUGAUUUGCAUCAAAUACUUUAAUACGUGUUUUUAUUUGUGCAAGCUCGGUGUUUCCAAUGUUCUACCUGGAGCUGGGCCAUCAUUACAACCCUGUGUUACAGCCGUGUGCCAAAGCAUUGCUAUUCACUUCAGUUUCUCAUGAACUGCUCUCAGCUGCUAGAAGGAGCUCCUGAAGAGCUGGCGACAAAGGAACUGUAAUCCUUUUCUUUACUCCACGUAUAUUAUUAGCUGAACAAUGAGAAUAUUUCAUGCUAAUACUUUUCUUUACACUUCAAUGUGGGAUGAUUAAUUACUGUGUGGAGUAACUGAAAGAAAAAAAAAGGCCUGUGUCAAAAAAAAGGAAAUGUUUAAGGAUCAUACCAUCAUCAGUUUCUUUUUCCAUAUAACUAGACACAAUUAUCUUUAGUCUGCAAAAUAUUCUGCUGCACUGAAUUACAUUUUACAGAGUCAGACAGACACACACACACACAAACACACACACAGACGGAAAGAAUAGAGCUUUAAGAGCCCAUUACUCAGGCUGUGAACAUUGGGCAUCCUCUCCCCUCUGCUCACCAGGGACCAACACUGAUGGAGUGAAGACUGCCUCCCUGCCUCUGCUAUGAAACCUCACACACCACAUGGAGUGUGUGUCGCAGUGUUCCUGUAUGUGCAUGCGCUAACGCCUGCUAACAAUCCUUUAUUUGCGUAUGUGUGCUUUGACACGAUGUUUGAGGGAACCAGCAUAUUCACUCAUUCAUGUUCGACUCCCCCCGUGAGCGUCACACCGCCGACCCACCCUGAGCUUUGACGCUGUAGGACCCACCAGGACCAAUUUGAAAGAGGGAAGUUCUAUUUAGCGAAAUGAGGCCGACAGAUGCAACUCAUCGCCGUCUUGUGGACAAAAUAAGUCAAACAAAUUUUUUUUUUUUUAAAGUGAUUAUCACCGGACCAGCUGUGGACUGUUUGCAAUAAAAUGAGAAAGGUGUAAUUUC